CCUUGGCUGUUCUCCUGACACUUAAGUCAGAGCAUUCUGUAGCUGUAUUUUACAGAACUGUAAUUGCACAGAUUGUUCCUCUUACAAGAGAAAUAUCCAGAGCUCUAAGAAAACAACUGAUGAAAACGGGUCUAGCUCUGUCACUCAAGCUGGAAUGCAGUGGUGCAAUCAUGGCUUACUGCGGCCUCAACCUCAUGGGUGUCAAGCCUCUGAGCCCAAGCCUGCACAUAUACAUCAAGAGGGCCUGAAGCAAGUGAAGAAUCACAAAAGAAGUGAAAAUGGCUGGUUCCUGCCUUAACUGAUGACAUUCCACCAUUGUGAUUUGUUCCUGCCCCACCUUAACUGAGUGAUUAACCUUGUGAAAUUCCUUCUCCCGGCUCAGAAGCUCCCCCACUGAGCACCUUGUGACCCCCACCCCGCCAAUAAGAGAACAACCCCCUUUGACUGUAAUUGUCCACUACCCACCCAAAUCCUAUAAAACAGCCCCACCCCUAUCUCCCCUCACUCUCUUUUUGGACUCAGCCCACCUGCACCCAGGUGAAAUAAACAGCCUUGUUGCUCACACAAAGCCUGUUUGGUGGUCUCUUCACACAGACAUGCAUGACAUUUGGUGCUGAAGACCAGGGUCAGAGAGACUCCUUUGGGGGACCAGUCCCCUGUCCUUGCCCUCACUCCGUGAGGAGACCCACCUACGACCUCAGGUCCUCAGACCAACCAGCUCAAGGAACAUCUCACCAAUUUCAAAUCGGGACCCCACUGGAAAUUGGACUGUCCAACUCACCCAGCAGCCACUCCCAGAGCCCCUGGAACUCUGGCCCAAGGCUCUCUGACUGACUCCUUCCCAGAUCUUCUCGGCUCAGCAGCUGAAGACUGACACUGCUUGAUUGCCUGGGAAGCCUAUAGGACCAUCACAGACACUUUGGAUAACUCUUACAGUGAAGGAUAUGGUCUUGCUCUGUCACCCACGCUGGAGUGCAACGGUAAAGCUCACUGCAGCCUCCACCUUCCAGGCUCAAGUGAUCCUCCCACCUCAGCCUUCUGAGUAGCUGAGACUAUAGACACGCACCACCACACUUGGUUAAUUUUGUUUUUUUACAUUUUUUGCAGACAGGGGCUUGCUAUGUUGCUCAGUUUGGUCUUGAACUUCUGGCCUCAAGUGAUUCUCUUGCCUUGGCCUCCCCAAAGUGCUGGGAUUACAGGUGUGAGCCACUGUGCCUAACCUCAAAUUCUUAAUUUACUGAGAGAAUCAGAAGAUAACCUUCACCUGCUUCCACCACGGAUUCUCCUGAGGAGGCUGUGCCUGUGCCUCACACCUGGCCUUCAACCUUCCUGCUACCAUCAACCACUUGGGCUCUCCUUAAAGUCCUGUGAAGUGGGUCCCAGCCCCUCUCACCUACUCAAGCACUCGGCUCUGCAAUUGUGCCCUCUUCCUUCCUACUGGGUAAUUCCCAUCAGUAUUUCAUAUCUCUUAAUCUUUUUUUAAAAAGAAAGAAAAAAAAGAGAAAUAUUCCCUUAAAUCCACAUCUUCUUCAAGCUACCACCCAAUUUCCCUGAUCUCCUUUAAGCCAAACUUCACGAGCCAUAUCUUUAGUUUCUGUCUCCAGCUCCUCUCAUGGGUCAUUCUCUCAUGGAUCUACUCCAGCCAGGCCAUGAUGCCCACAACUUCACUGACAGUGCUAUUACCAUGUGCUUCCAAUUGCUGAGCCCUGUGGUCAAUUCCUAGCACUCAUCUCACCUCCUUGGGGCCCUUUCUGCAAUUUCCCUUUGGGUCGUUGACAUGCUUUGGCUACACUCACUUCCAAAUCUCAUUUCGAAUUGUAAUCGCCACAUGUCAAGGGAGAGACCUGGUGGGAGGUGAUUGGAUCAUAGGGGCUGUUUCCCCCAUGCUAUCCUCAUGAUAGUGAAGGAGUUCUCAUGAGAUGUGUUUUUUUGUUUGUUUUUUGUUUUGUUUUGUUUUUGUUUGUUUUUUUUAAAGUGUCUGGAGUUUCCCCUAUGGACGCUCUCUCCUGCCACCAUGUAAGUCUUGCCUCACUUUUCGUUUGCCUUCCACCAUGAUUGUAAGUUUCCUGAGGCCUCCCCAGCUAUGUGGAACUGUGAGUCAAUUGAACCUCUUUUGUUUAUAAAUGAUCCAGUCUUAGGUAGUAUCUUUAUCACAGUGUGAAAGUGGACUGAUACAGAUGUCAUGCCACUUUGAGUUCCCUUCUUACUUCAUUGGCUGCUUCCUCUCAAACUCCUUUGGUCUGCAUCUUCCUGCCAUCUGAAUAUUGGAGCUCCCAGAGCUCCAGCCUUGGCCACUCUCCCUUUCUGGCUACACUCAAUUCCUAGGGGUCUCAUCCAAGCCCAUGGUUUUAAUGCUAUUUAUAUACUAAUGACUUAGCCCUCCCACGGGUUGUAUAGUCAGUCACUCUGCAACAUGGCAUUGCCAAUAUAUCUGCAAAUGAGCUCAAUAUUCCUUGCCCCACCACCUCAACCCAUUCAUUCUCCAGCCCUAUGCAGCUCUGUCAGUGGCAAUGCCAGCCUUUUAGUGGCUCAGGACAAAUCUCUGAAGUCAUCUUGGAUUCCUCUACUUCUCUCACAUCCUACAUGCAUUCCUUUAAGUCCUUUUGGCUCCAUCGAAAAAAAUGUGUCUGGAGCCUGACCACUUGUCCCCACCUCCACAACACCUCCACACCCAAGCCACCAGUGUCUCUGUCCUAGAUUAUUUCAGUAGCCUCCGAAUGAGCCUGUCAGUCUUCACUCUUACCCCCACAGGCUAUUUUUCACACAGCAGCCGAAAUAAUCCUUAUAAAGUAUAAACCAGAUCAUAUUACUUUUCUGCUUGGAGCCCUCCAGCGACACAUCAUCUCAGAAUCAAUCCAACUGCUUGGCUAUGGCUGACAAUGGGCAUCACUUCCUUUCACUCUCUGAGACCUCUGGCACCUUGCAUUGUCUGGAUGGGCUUGGUACUUGUAUUACCAGAAAGAGGUCCUGAUCUAGACCCCAAGAGGCGGCUGUUGGACCUCAUGCAAGAAAGAAUUCAGGGCAAGUCCAUAAAGUGAAAGCAAGUUUAUUAAGAAAGUAAAGAAAUAAAAGAAUGGCUAUUCCAUAGGCAGAGCAGUGGCCUGGGCUGCUCAACUGAGCAUACUUAUAGUUAUUUCUUGAUUAUAUGCUACACAAGAGGUGGAUUAAUCAUGAGUUUUCUGGGAAAGGGGUGGGCAAUUCCUGGAACUGAGGGUUCCUCUCCCUUUUAGACCAUAGGGUUAACUUCUUGACGUUGCCAUGGCAUUUGUAAACUGUCGUGGUGCUGGUGAGAAUAUCUUUCAGCAUGCUAAUGCCUUAUAAUUAGAGUAUAGUAAGCAGUGAGGAUGACCAGAAGUCACUUUCGUCACCAUCUUGGUUAUGGUGGGUUUUAGCCAGCUUCUUUACCACAUCCUGUUUUAUCAGCAAGGUCUUUAUCACUUGCACCUUGUGGCCAACCUCCUAUCUCAUCCCAUAACUAAGAAAGCCUAACCUCCUGAGAAUGCAGCCCAGUAGGUCUCAGCCUUAUUUUACCCAGCCACUUUUCAAGAUGGAGUCUGUUUGGUUUAAAUGCCUCUGACGCUUGUCGUUCCCUGUGCUGGAAUGUUCUUACUCAGAUACCCACGCAGCUGCCUUCAAGUCUCUGUUUAAAUCGUAUUUCAUGAGAAAAGCCUUUCACUUCCUUUUAGACAAAAGAGUGCCACCCCAGGGAGGAAUGCCAGGGUCCCAUAGAGGGAGACCGACAGUGAAGUGGAGCCUGCCAUGAAUUCACCAAAGGCCAUUCUCCCUUUCUUCCAGAGGAAUAGCGUUUAGCUGGGCCUACGGCUACCUACCUAAAGACUGCACCUCUUAGUCACCCUUGUGGCUAGGUGUGGCCACGUGACAAUGGAAUGUAAGUGGAAGUGAUGUAUGCAACUUGGGUUCAUUGGUUUUAAAAAAAAUAUGACCACCCUACAUUUCCACUCUUUGUCUUAUCUGUGAAUGGGAACAUGGCUGUGUCUGCAGCCAGACUUUGUGCAGCAAAGGACAAGGCCCUACGGGAAGGUGGAGAAACAAGAUGGAACAACUUGGACCCAACAACUUGGAUCCCUAUGUGGCCAUGUGGAGUCAUCUCACCCACCUGGGCCACUCACCCCGAAGACUGUUGUGUGAGGGUGAAAUAAACUUCUGUAUCACUAGCCCCUGCAUUUCAGAAAUUCUUUGUUAUGGCAGUUUUGCCUUUAUCCUAACACAGACAGCAAAGUAUCUUCUGUGGCCCCAUGACUAAUGUCGUUGUUUAAACGCAUUAUAAAAACUAUAUAAAUAAAAUAUUAAAAAUCAA